UACGUAGGCGGAAAAUUAAGUCAGUAGUGAAAUCCUGCAGCUUAACUGUAGAACUGUUAUUGAUACUGGUUUUCUUGAAUUUAGUUGAGGUAGGCGGAAUGUGUAAUGUAGCGGUGAAAUGCUUAGAUAUUACACAGAACACCGAUUGCGAAGGCAGCUUACUAAGCUAUGAUUGACGCUGAGGUACGAAAGCGUGGGGAGCGAACAGGAUUAGAUACCUGGUAGUCC
rnacentral:rRNA from 1 species